UACGUAGGGGGCUAGCGUUGCCCGGAUUUAUUGGGCGUAAAGAGCGUGUAGGCGGCCAGGUAGGUCUGCUGUGAAAACUCGAGGCUCAACCUCGAGACGUCGGCGGAAACCAUCUGGCUAGAGUCCGGAAGAGGAGAGUGGAAUUCCGCGUGUAGCAGUGAAAUGCGUAGAUAUGCGGAGGAACACCGAUGGCGAAGGCAAUCCCCUGGACCUGUACUGACGCUCAUGCACGAAAGCGUGGGGAGCAAACAGG
rnacentral:rRNA from 1 species